UUAACUACAUAGGCAAGUCGAGGGGCGAGCGGGGAGUGAAGCUUGCUUCAUCCGCCGGCGACCGGCGCACGGGUGAGUAACACGUAUGCAACCUGCCCCUCGGCUGGGGGAGUAAGCCGGAGAAAUCCGGUCUAAUACCGCGUAACAUCCUUGCGGGACAUCCCGUUAGGAUCAAAGGAAGCGGAUUCCGGCCAGGGAUGGGCAUGCGGCGCAUUAGCUAGUCGGCGGGGUAACGGCCCACCGAGGCGACGAUGCGUAGGGGUUCUGAGAGGAAGGUCCCCCACACUGAUACUGAGACACGGACCAGACUCCUACGGGAGGCAGCAGUGAGGAAUAUUGGUCAAUGAGCGCGAGCCUGAACCAGCCAAGUCGCGUGAGGGAAGACGGUCCUAUGGAUUGUAAACCUCUUUUGCCGGGGAGCAAGCUGUGCCACGUGUGGCGCAGCUGAGAGUACCCGGAGAAAAAGCAUCGGCUAACUCCGUG
rnacentral:rRNA from 1 species